rnacentral:rRNA from 1 species
CGUAGGUGGCAAGCGUUGUCCGGAAUUAUUGGGCGUAAAGCGCUCGCAGGCGGUUCCUUAAGUCUGAUGUGAAAUCUUGCAGCUUAACUGCAAGCGGUCAUUGGAAACUGGGGGACUUGAGUACAGAAGAGGAGAGCGGAAUUCCACGUGUAGCGGUGAAAUGCGUAGAGAUGUGGAGGAACACCAGUGGCGAAGGCGGCUCUCUGGUCUGUAACUGACGCUCAGGAGCGAAAGCGUGGUAGCGAACAGGAUU